AUUGUCAGCACCAGGACGCCAUUACCCAUCACGCCGAUUACGAGGAUUAGAAGAAAGACCACAGGAACAAUAUAAGUUUCCAGUCGGGCACUGUAAGAUUUGUCUUCCCCGACAAGAAAUUAUCCGGACCGCCCUUCUUGUGCAACUUUUUCUUACACCCGAUGCUGAGUUCAGCUCUGAAACAGAUGAUGCAAAUUUGUGACUUAAGGCUGAUAUACAGUACCACGAUUAACGUGCUGACAGUGGAUAUCGAAUCGUUCAAUGUAUCCGUUAGGUUUACAUUUACGUCUGAUGUUCGAUAAGGAUUACCAAAUUUGAAUCUGAGAUAAUUUACCAAUCAUAGCAAUUAUUAAAGAUAUCGGGAUUACGUGAUUU